rnacentral:tRNA from 1 species
GACCCAGUGGUCUAAUGGUAAGGCGUUGACUGGGGAGAUAGAGUCCUGGGUUCGAUCCCCGGCGGUGUCG